rnacentral:rRNA from 1 species
CUUGAAGAUGACAAGGUAGAUAGGUCCGAGGUGGAAGCGUGGCGACACGUGUAGCUGACGGAUACUAAUCGAUCGAGGACUUAACUAA